UGGCUCAGAAUCAACGCUGGCGGCGUGCCUAACACAUGCAAGUCGAACGCGAAAGGGGCUUCGGCCCUGAGUAGAGUGGCGAACGGGUGAGUAACACGUGGGUGAUCUACCUCUGAGUGGGGGAUAACCUUCCGAAAGGAGGGCUAAUACCGCAUGACGUUCCGGGUUUGAAGACCGGGAAACCAAAGUCGGGGACCGCAAGGCCUGACGCCUUGGAGAGGAGCCCGCGCCUGAUUAGCUAGUUGGUGAGGUAACGGCUCACCAAGGCGACGAUCAGUAGCCGGCCUGAGAGGGCGGACGGCCACACUGGGACUGAGACACGGCCCAGACUCCUACGGGAGGCAGCAGUG
rnacentral:rRNA from 1 species